UCUCAGAGUAUUCCCUACGUAUCUCAGGA
rnacentral:sRNA from 1 species